rnacentral:rRNA from 1 species
UACGGAGGGUGCGAGCGUUGUCCGGAAUCACUGGGCGUAAAGGGCGCGUAGGCGGCCUGAUAAGUAGGGGGUGAAAUCCUGCGGCUUAACCGCAGGGCUGCCUUCUAAACUGUCAGGCUGGAGCACAGUAGAGGCAGGUGGAAUUCCCGGUGUAGCGGUGGAAUGCGUAGAGAUCGGGAAGAACAUCAGUGGCGAAGGCGGCCUGCUGGGCUGUUGCUGACGCUGAGGCGCGACAGCGUGGGGGGCAAACAGG